GACGGGACCCGCACAAGCGGUUGGAGUGAUUGUGGUUUAAUUCGAUGCAACGCGAAAAACCUUACCCACCUUUGACAUGGCAGGAAGUUUCCAGAGAUGGAUUCGUGCUCGAAAGAGAACCUGCACACAGGUGCUGCAUGGCUGUCGUCAGCUCGUGUCGUGAGAUGUUGGGUUAAGUCCCGCAACGAGCGCAACCCUUGCCAUUAGUUGCUACGAAAGGGCACUCUAAUGGGACUGCCGGUGACAAACCGGAGGAAGUGGGGAUGACGUCAAAUCAUCAUGCCCCUUAUGUUCUGGGCUACACACGUGCUACAAUGGCCGGUACAGACGGAGGCGAAGCCGCGAGGCGGAGCAAAUCCGAAAAAGCCGGUCUCAGUUCGGAUUGCAGGCUGCAAUUCGCCUGCAUGAAGUCGGAAUCGCUAGUAAUCGCAGGUCAGCAUACUGCGGUGAAUACGUUCCCGGGCCUU
rnacentral:rRNA from 1 species